UCUAAUUUUAGCUUUUAGGCUAAAAUUUUCUAGACUGAAAAUCGCAGGCUAGUUUUUUGUGUGGUUUUGUAUGGAGUUUUGGCUACCUCGUGGGUAGACCACUUUUUAUUUGGAUUCCCAAGAUGUCACAAAAUACAAUGUUUUACAAUGUCUUUAUCACGCGUUACGCAGUUACGGGAGCACGUCCACUAGCGGAUGAGAACGAAAAGACAAGAGAACGCGUGGUGGGAACGACGGCUUUUUAUAAUCUUUUUAACGGGAAAUAGUUUAGUCUGGCUAACUUUCUAUAUCUCUUCUCUCAUCUAUUUCCAGCUUUCUUCUAUCUCUUUCUCCUUCUUCUUGUUUCCUCUAUCAAAAUUUCGUUUCAGGAGAACUGCCUUACGGGCUUGGAGUGGUGACCAACGAUGCAGACACCCCAUUGCCCACCCGAAGCGUGGGCGAUAGGACCAAAGGGACCGCGUCGCACCACGGAAAGCAGCGUAAUAAGCAGAAUCAGCAGACCAGAUCGCCGCAGAAGAUGCGUCGUGACCCAGGGUGCAACCGCACACACGACUCCGCAUGAAGUAAUACGCACCACAAGCGUACCGGCCGAGUUGGGUGAGUCGGAGAGGGGGAUGGAAUAUGCUCACUCUUCGUUAACAAAAAAAAAAAAAAAAAAAAAAAAAGGUGCUCGAAUAAGGUUCAUAUUCAUAUUCAUUAGGGUGCUCGAAUUAGGGUGCUUGAAUUAGGGUGAUCGAAUUAGAGUGCCCGAUAUUUUGAAUUGACGGUUGACGUCAGCUCCGGACUGUGGUGAGGCUAUAACGUGGUCGCCACAGAGUGUUUACAUGAUUUCAGCCUCCAACUGUCAAACUCCAUACAAGAAAACUAACUAGAAUCGUGAAGGCCCCCAAUAUUAGAUUUUUCGCACAAAUCAUAUGAAAUAAAUGAUAAAGUGUAUAAAAGUGCUAAAUAAAAUCAAAAACUUUGA